GGGCAGCUAGCCAGCAAUGGGAUGCGAAUCUCGAAAGCCUGUCUCAGUUCGGAUUGGAGGCUGAAACCCGCCUCCAUGAAGUUGGAUUCGCUAGUAAUCGCGCAUCAGCCAUGGCGCGGUGAAUACGUUCCCGGGCCUUGUACACACCGCCCGUCAAGCCAUGGGAGCCGGGGGGUGCCUGAAGUUCGUGACCGCAAGGAGCGACCUAGGGCAAAACUGGUGACUGGGGCUAAGUCGUAACAAGGUAUC
rnacentral:rRNA from 1 species